GGGCCUAUAGCUUAGUACGGUCUGGAGCACCCGGCUGAUAACCGGGAGGUCGCCGGUUCGAAUCCGGCUAGGCCCACCA
rnacentral:tRNA from 1 species